rnacentral:rRNA from 1 species
AUUGAACGCUGGCGGCAGGCCUAACACAUGCAAGUCGAGCGGAGCGGCGGACGGGUGCGUAAUGCCUAGGACUCUGCCUGGUCGUGGGGGAUAACGUUCGGUAAUGGGCGCUAAUACCGCAUACUAUCAGAUGAGCCUAGGUCGGAUUAGCUUGUUGGUGGGGUAAAGGCCUACCAAGGCGACGAUCCGUAACUGGUCUGAGAGGAUGAUCAGUCACACUGGAACUGAGACACGGUCCAGACUCCUACGGGAGGCAGCAGUGGGGAAUAUUGGACAAUGGGCGAAAGCCUGAUCCAGCCAUGCCGCGUGUGUGAAGAAGGUCUUCGGGUUGUAAAGCACUUUAAGUUGGGAGGCGUUACCAACAGAAUAAGCACCGGCUAACUUCGUGCCAGCCGCCGCGGUAAUAC